rnacentral:tRNA from 1 species
CAACGAGUAGUUUAAUUAAAAUAUUAAUUUUGGAGAUUAAAGAUAAGUGUAUAACUUUUCGUUGA